rnacentral:RNase_P_RNA from 1 species
GGAGUAGAGCAGAUGAUCGCUGGUUCCGCGUCGGUGGAACGGGAGGAAAGUCCGGGCUCCACAGGGCAGGAUGCUGGGUAACGCCCAGUCUCGGUGACGAGGAGGAUAGCGCCACAGAAAGCAAACCGCCACGCCUCGAGCGGGGUAAGGGUGAAACGGUGAGGUAAGAGCUCACCAGUCCCGAUGGUGACAUCGGGAGCUAGGCAAGCCCCAUCCGGUGCAAGACCAAAUAGGAGAGCGUUUGAGGGCGGCCCGUCCGAGCUCUCGGGUAGGUUGCUGGACCUCAUCGGCAACGGUGAGGCUAGAGGAAUGAUCGUCACCCUGUUUCCUCGAGGGGACAGGGAACAGAACCCGGCUUAUGAUCUGCUCCAGAC